UUUUAAUUCGACCGAUGAGAAAUUCCAGAAAUUUUAGAAGAAUCAACUGACAAACGAUCGGUGAUCAAAAUGCUUAGGAACCCUAUGCUAAGUCUACCGAAAUUCAGAUGUAUGUUAUAAAUGAGUAAAGAGACGUCAUCUGGAGCUUUCUAACCCAAUUAUGAGGAACAUAUCUAGUUAUGACGUGUAUAUGUUUAGGCAGUAAAUUCUUCUGACACUAGGAACCGGAAGAUUUUCUAGCUUUGAUUUAGGCACGGCAUAGAUCCUUUAAACUUCGUAUGUCUUUGUGAACCAAACUAAACUAUUUUCGUAUUGGGCUGCACCAAUUUUGUUUUACAUAACUUUGUGGGCAAACAAGUUCAUCACUUUUCAACAGCUUCAAUUGCCUGUUAUACUUUUCAACAGCUUCAACUCUGGGGAUGAGAUGAAGAAUUUUAUGCUUAUGCUUCUGGUUGCAGAAUCAUGAGUCAUUGCCUAGGAUGUUUGAUAUCUGGGAUUGUUUGGUUUGGUGUUAAAUUGUAAAUAUGAAUUUGACUAAUAUUCUCCCAAUCCUCUUAUUAAUUGGAGUGUUUUCUUGUAUGAAGCAUCUCACCUUCAUCAAAUAGCUCCGAAGUAGAAUGAGUAGCAAAUAUUAUGUCGCACACUGAGUAAUUAUGUGACGGGGGUUAUGGCGUUGGUGAACCAUGUGAUAACACCCAUUUAUCAGAUAGAAAUAUGGCAUUGGUCACAUGAGAGAGAGAUUCCCUUUAAAUUGCUAGCAACUGGCAAGCAAAGAAGACGACAAAUGAAAUGUGCAUCUGAUUUCAAGAUCAAGAAGCCAUAUAGGAUAUUUUCUUGUUGUUUAGUUGAGUUUUGACACUCUCUUAGAAAACUUUUGGGCAAAUUAUUGUAUAGUAUUAUCAGAUAACAUGACAAUCCUGGGUGAAGCAAAAAAGUAUUGGCACAUUUGUUUAUAAAAGAAGACUUGGGGACCUGUUAAGUUGUUUACAGCUAAUCAUGGUGAUAUUGACAUGGAAACAUCUUGUACAAUGCUGUGAUCUUAAUGGAAGAGCCACAAGAAGUGUUUGUUUGCUUCUGGGCUUUCAAGUAACAUAAGAGGUUGUUUAGGUUUGGAUAAUUUUGGAUUACAAGUUAGAAAAUGAUGUCCCUAUCUCAAAAUUCAGCUCGAUAUUCAAUCGGAUCAAUUUUAGACAUGUAGAAUACUGUGCGUUCACAUCGGUAUGCUCCAGAUUGCUCCUUGCUAGAAGGAUCUUCACUGGAAUUCUUCAGGUAUACAAUGAUCAGUUAAAAUACUUUGCAGUCAGAAGACUACUAUUCAAUGCAGUAGUUGCAUCACGUCUACUGGAAUAGCUUGAAAGGUAAUUGGUUGCACCACAUAUAUGACAUCCUUAUGUACACAUACGCGUGGUUGAUAGAACAUUUUGCUGAUGAUACCCUCUAUUUCUGGAUUAUCUUUCUUAAUACCUUGCCAAAUUUUGUCUGUGGUUCACGUUGAUAAUUCCCUGAAUAGUACUUAAAUUAUCAGUUUAAAUAUGAAUAAUGUGACAUCAUGUGCUCUUUUGACUAACUGAAUUCCUUAAUAUUACUAUAUUUUCAGACAUUAUCAGAUAACAAUAGCUGUGCCUCCUCUUUUGUCAUCCAUCCUAACAAUAAAAAUGUGAAACCUACUUUCUUUCUCAUGAAAUUAAUAUUUAUAUACCAAUGUUUCAUGCUUUUACUAAGAUUCAUGCCCCUUGCAUACAUUUUGAAGACACCAAUUUGCAACCCCUUGCUCAUUGUAAAGUCAAUACCUAUUUUUUUCCCUGUAGGUUUUGAAGCAUCCGAGUUGUUUUCGACGUCGCGUUCCGAAAACAGUAUUUGAUGAUGAUUAGUCGCUACCCACACACCCCCUUCAUCCCCCUCAAAUAAUUUUCCUGUGCUUAUAUUUAAUUGCAUCUUGUUAAUAAUUUUAAUGACAAGCUUAAAUUAGUUUAUCUGAUCAUCUGGCAUGAUAAGCUGUCCUCAUUACUGAUGUUCCCCUUUGUGUGCAGUUAGGCUUUCCGCGUUGUUGAUAUCAGCUUCUUCCUAGUUCCUACUACUGUACUACUGUCUACAUUAUUAUUAUUUGUCAAUUCUAUUAUUCCUUUGCCUUGACAGCGAUGUAUUAUUGUGACAUUCUAAUGUAUGUCACCAUGAUAAUAAGCGUUGACAUUUUUACUAUUUUUUUGGGGGAAAUAUCAUUUCCUUUUAAUAAAUGGAUUUUGAGAGUUGUGUUCAAAUUUGUUUAUCUUAUUUGCUCUUCAUGCACCUCAUUGAAGUGCGCUGAUGGAGAUGAAAUUUGAUUUUGAUACCUGUAUCUAUCCUUUUGAACUUUUUUUUUUACCUCAAGGCUUACUUCCAUCGUCGCUUGGAUUGAAGUGUUGCAUUAUCCUAAACGCU